rnacentral:piRNA from 1 species
AUGGGGACGGGGAUAGACAUAUG